rnacentral:tRNA from 1 species
GACUUCGUAGCUCAGUUGGAUAGAGCGACUGCCUCCUAAGCAGUAGGUCGAGAGUUCGACUCUCUCCGGGGUCACCA